CUGACAUGCGUGCGAGUCGACGGGCGCGAAAACCCGGGAGGCGCAAGGAAGCUGACUAGCGGGAACCCCCUCGAGGGGCCGCACCGCUGGCCGACCCCGAUCUUCUGUGAAGGGUUCGAGUCGGAGCACGCCCGUCGGGACCCGAAAGAUGGUGAACUAUGCCUGAGCGAGGCGAAGCCAGAGGAAACUCUGGUGGAGGCCCGAAGCGAUACUGACGUGCAAAUCGUUCGUCUGACUUGGGUAUAGGGGCGAAAGACUAAUCGAACCAUCUAGUAGCUGG
rnacentral:ncRNA from 1 species